GCAAGUCUUGGAGAUAAUCAUGUGAAGCCCCUCCCACUUCGCCCAGCACCCAUGACACGGCAGCGAGCAUUUGGGUUGUAGCUGCUGGUGACUUGCUACGUGAGCCUGUGUGUAUCUCCUGCCUUCUCUGAGCUUCGUUUUCCCCAGCCUGGUAGUGAGAUGGCUGAUCAGAUGACCGCUCAAGUCCAAAUGUCAGCAGUUCCUGGAGCUCCGAGGAGACGCCUGGACUGCCAGUACCUGAUCCUAAGACACCCUCCAAAAGAUCUCCUUCCACAUUGCUGCUGCCUCCAGGACUGGCAACAUUUUGGGGGAAAGGACCAAGUAGCAUGAACAAGGAAAUCAUGACUCACAAUCAAAACAAGAGCCCAGACCCCGUGAGUCCAUCUGUCCGGGUCACAGAGUACCUUCACAGCCAUGAUCUUACUUUAUAUUCCCAAUGACCUGACAGGGAAGGUUUUACUGUAAUUGCCAUGAUUAUUAUUUGUGUCAUCAUUGCCAUUCCUCAUUACUAUUAUCUCGUGACUGUAGCAUGCAGCCACUCCUGGGCCCCUGGCAGACAUGAGUAAUCAACCAGGCUGCCAGGGGCCCAGUGAUCAAUCAAUCACUAGGCCUCCGGGUGUCCUCAGAAUUUCCUCCAUCUGGCACUGUAGGUGGUCAUCACCCUUCAACUGAAGUUGGCGU